rnacentral:rRNA from 1 species
GACAGAGGGGGCAAGCGUUGCUCGGAAUUACUGGGCGUAAAGGGCGCGUAGGCGGGCUGGCAAGUCGGUCGUGAAAUCCCUCGGCUCAACCGAGGAACGUCGAUCGAUACUGCUGUUCUUGAGGAUUGCAGAGGAGACUGGAAUUCCCGGUGUAGCGGUGAAAUGUGUAGAGAUCGGGAGGAACACCGGUGGCGAAGGCGGGUCGCUGGGCAAUUCCUGACGCUGAGGCGCGAAAGCGUGGGGAGCAAACGGG